GAUAAGCAGCCCUACCAUGACAUACCAAAUAUUAACAAUGAGAAAAAGCCAGGUCAAAAAUAAAAGAGCCAAAAUAUGAAGAGAAAAAAAAAUAAAAAAAUAAUACGGGAAAAAGAAGAACGCCGACGAAACGAAUGAUAUUUUCUUGGUUACCAAGUCUGUAAAAUAGGUGAAUGGUGUUUUCUUCGUUAUCAAUCUGCGAAAGAAACACAACCGGCCUGAAAAAAGGAAGAAAAAACAAAACCACCAUCUGUGAAUGCCACUCGUUGUUCAACUAGUGAAGGCGCUGGAGAUAUGAAGAUACAAUCUGCAAAAUUGACCCUUUCUUGUGAAAAAGAAAUGUAAUGUAUGUGCUCUUUGAAAUGGAUAUAGCUCUGUUUCAGCUGGUGAAGGCUUUGGAGAUAUUAGGAUGAAAUCUUGGUAAAUUUUGAGAAUUCUAACGGUCAGAAUCUGAGGAGGGGAGAGGUGAUCGUGACCAGUUUAAAGUUGCCAAGUCUCUACGGUGGUGGCCAGAUCUAUGGUGGGGGAAGAGUGGCGAUGGUCGGAUCUGAGAAAAAGAAGAAGGUGCUAUAAUGGCGAUGGUCAUGGCGGUUGCCGGAAUCAGUAAAAGGUGGCUGCAAAAUUUGUCACCAGAAAAUUAUUUUCCGGCGAAGUAUUCACAUUUUCUGGCGACACGCGCUUUAUUUUCAGUGAGAUGCACGCUAUGUGCCAACUCAGGAAGUUGUGGCUCAUAGUGUCCAAUUGCAACAAGCCUUACCACAUGUGUUUAACGGCUUAUUUGGAUGGUUGUCUCUCAUUGUAUUGUAUUUUAUUGUUAUCCCAAAAUAAUAUUUAUUUUGAUUGUUUCAUUAAAACUGGUUGUAUUGUAUUGUUAAAUUUAUUAUUUC
rnacentral:lncRNA from 1 species